AGAAUCAACGCUGGCGGCGUGCCUAACACAUGCAAGUCGAACGCGAAAGUGGAGCAAUCCAUGAGUAGAGUGGCAAACGGGUGAGUAACGCGUGGGCGACCUACCUUCACGUGGGGGAUAACCUUCCGAAAGGAGGGCUAAUACCGCAUAACAUCCUGCUUUUAGAUAAGCGGGUAUCAAAGCCGGGGAUCGCAAGACCUGGCGCGAGAAGAGGGGCCCGCGUCCGAUUAGCUAGUUGGUGAGGUAACGGCUCACCAAGGCUCCGAUCGGUA
rnacentral:rRNA from 1 species